GAGUUACAAUUUGCCGACAGAAAAAUCAAUGCAUAGCACAUCGGUGCUAGAUUAGAUAAAAACCUGCAGGUUGAAAGCUAAAAAUAAAGUUACACCAUAAAUAACUUCUCUAAUGGAAAAUAUGCGGAAAUUUUCAUUUCAUGUUCGCAGACUAAGAGGCAUCAAACUACGGGUGUAAAUUUUUGAUAAUUAGGGAGUGAUUUGUACUUUUUAUAUCUAAAUAAUGGGCUAAAUAAAACAAAUAUUCUCAUGUUUAUUAGUGUUAACUUAGUGGUGCAAUUCAGUUUUAAAUUUGUUUUGUUUUUCAAAUUCAACAUAAAUGUGUUUAUGUUAACUUAGCAAUUAUCCACAAAUUUCAAAAAAUUUCCAAUUCCAAAUUUAUUAAAUGACAAUGUUAUUUCGCUUACUGAAUCAUUAAAAAAGUAUUCCGUUCGUUUAGGGGGUUGGCAGAUGUUUAUACAGAAGUUCAUUUUUUACUCUUGCAGCUGUUAGGCUGAUACACACAUAAUUUUGAUAAAAAUGAAUCACAAUAAUCAAGCAUUAAGCACAAAUUAAUCGCUGAAUUUUUUAGGUGCAUUUGGUACAAGCGUACCACUCUACACCUAAGGAAAAAAUCUCCUUAAAACGAAUUAGUCAUCAAUUAAAAUGGGAAGUAUUUUGAAUGGCUCGAUCAACCCUGUUAGAGAGACACUGAGGGUUAAAAUAUUGUGCUUCCAUUGCCUCAAACUUGGUACCAACUUUAAAACACGUUUGAAACUACCAAAAUUAUAUUCUGAUAAUAUCUGGUCAAAACGCUGCAUCUGUAUUUUGUAUAUUAUACGGUUAACUGUGAGUUUAAAUCGAGGGAAGUUUGAUUUCCUUUCAAAUAUUUCAUAUAAAAACAACCAGGCUCUAUCUCUGUGCAUCUUGGUUUGAUAUUCCACUAGAGUUGAGAGAUUAUUUGAACAAAACAAGUAUUUAUUUACUGAAUGAUGCCAUGAGGUUUCGUUUCAUGAUGCGGCCACCGCAAUUGUCCGACUUAGUACUUCGGAUUUUUAUUUUGGAGGUCACAUAAAACAAUUGCCCAUUAAGUCGCACAGCGGUUAGUCAGAAUCCAUAUGGCUUCUGCUCAUAUAAAAAAUAGUGCAGAUCGGUUACUGCAGAUGAAUACGUAUGCAGGCGUUUUCUUCUGAAUAUGAUGUCCCGACAUAUUAGAAAUGUUUUAGUAACUUUUAUUUUAUUUGAGUUUGGUCAGCUAUUAGUAAAUUAAAUCUUUGAAGUGAUCUAGCUUUGCACAAAUUGAAGUAGGUAUAUACAGAGUGAUUGAAACCUGGCGUCAUUCUUCUUGAUAAGUUUUCUGCAGUAGUUGCCCAGUUAGGCAGUACCUACAUUUGCACAAAUUUUGGAUAUGUGAUAAUUUGAAUAUAUGAAAGAAAAUCAGAUAAUUCAUAUAUUAGUUCAUUAUAAUCAGCCUAGCAAACCAAAGUUGUAACAUUUGAUAAAUGUUAUGUAAUUUUUGUGACUGAUUUUAUGUAACGCUUUUACAUAACAUUGAUGUAACAUAAGAAGAACAGGAAAACAAAUUUUUGGUGACAGCGAUGUUAUGUAACCCUGAUGUAACAUGGUUUACCAGAUGAGUACCAUCUGGUGUAAUUCAAAUUUCUAUCGAAUUCCACUUGGUUUCACGGACAACCCGUGGAGCCACACAAAAGAACCCUCCUAUGAAAAUGAGCCAGCUACGAGGCAGGCCAGGUCAUUUUUCUUGGAUACUUCUUCUACCAGACGCAAGUUUUGGUUCAUUUGCAUUUCGCUUGUGCAUUGAGCAUUGACUAUUGUUUUAAAACAUACUUAACAAGUAGAACUUUAGAGUCCGUCCACGAUWUGAAUAUKUCAAGGUAAGUGAACAGAUAUAUACAUCUUUACCUAUUUUCUACUGUUUGAUCAGAUUCUAAAAAYUACCAUGUGAUUUUAUAGAUUUGUCCAGUCAGCAUCAACGCCGUAUUUUAGCUAACACGAGUUCUUCAAUACCCAAUCCAAAGUKGGCUUGAACUUUACGUUGCAUCAAUUUCCGAGCCCCUUGUUGAAACCGAUAAAUCAUUGUUCGUGGAACGACCAGAGAAAUAACAGCUUCAAAAUUGAAGAGCUAAAUCGGAGCAAAGUUUUGAUUGAUACGUGAAACUUACUCCAUGAUACUACAGCAUCAUCUUAUGUCGAAAUUGCAUUAUCAGUGUAGUUUCGACUUAGUAGGCAGAGGUUGUAUAUAAAAAGUUAAUGUUAAAUCAAAAUGUUGAACAGUUAUUUCAAUAAAGUUCCGUAUUUACGCAUUUUUAGAACAAA